rnacentral:rRNA from 1 species
GGGGAAUUUUGGACAAUGGGCGCAAGCCUGAUCCAGCAAUGCCGCGUGCAGGAUGAAGGCCUUCGGGUUGUAAACUGCUUUUGUACGGAACGAAACGGUCCUGGUUAAUACCUGGGGCUAAUGACGGUACCGUAAGAAUAAGCACCGGCUAACUACGUGCCAGCAGCCGCGGUAAUACGUAGGGUGCGAGCGUUAAUCGGAAUUACUGGGCGUAAAGCGUGCGCAGGCGGUAAUGUAAGACAGAUGUGAAAUCCCCGGGCUCAACCUGGGAACUGCAUUUGUGACUGCAUUGCUGGAGUGCGGCAGAGGGGGAUGGAAUUCCGCGUGUAGCAGUGAAAUGCGUAGAUAUGCGGAGGAACACCGAUGGCGAAGGCAAUCCCCUGGGCCUGCACUGACGCUCAUGCACGAAAGCGUGGGGAGCAAAC